rnacentral:rRNA from 1 species
CCUGCGGAAGGAUCAUUGUCGAAACCUGCAAAGCAGACCGCGAACACGUUCAGAACAACUGAGGCACCGCGGAGGGGGGGAGACCCCUCGAAACGGUGCCCACCCGCCCAUCUGGCCGUUCUCGGUCCGCCCUGCUGGCUACCCAACCCGGGUGAACAAUGCGCCAAGGAAAAUACAACGGACCGUUUCCCUCCCCUGCGAAUCCCAUUACCGGGGGGAGGGGGAGCGAGGAGGCCCAUCGAAUGUCUAAACGACUCUCGCCAAAGGAUACCUCGGCUCUCACAUCGAUGAAAAACGUAGGAAAAUGCGAUACUUGGUGUGAAUUGCAGAAUCCCGUGAACCAUCGAGUCUUUGAACGCAAGUUGCGCCCGAAGCCAGUAGGCCGAGGGCACGUCUGCCUGGGCAUCACGCAUCGCGUCGCCCCCUUCCCCCUGGGGGUGGGGCGAAUUUGGCCCCCCUUGCGUUCCCCUCCGGGGCCGGCCCAAUUGUUCUUCCCCCUUCGGGGCACGUCGCAACCAUUGUUGGUUGAAUUCUCACUUCGCUGGCUGUCCAUUCACGUUUCGCCAAGGGUCCGAAAAUAAAAACCCAAGGGUGCAACACCAAUUCUGGCCACCAACGGGACCCCAGGUCAGGCGGAUCACCGCUGAGUUAACAUAUC